UACGUAGGGUGCAAGCGUUAAUCGGAAUUACUGGGCGUAAAGCGUGCGCAGGCGGUUGUGCAAGACCGAUGUGAAAUCCCCGGGCUUAACCUGGGAAUGGCAUUGGUGACUGUACGGCUAGAGUGUGUCAGAGGGGGGUAGAAUUCCACGUGUAGCAGUGAAAUUCGUAGAUAUUGGGAAGAACACCGGUGGCGAAGGCGGCUCUCUGGACCGAGACUGACGCUGAGGCGCGAAAGCGUGGGGAGCAAACAGG
rnacentral:rRNA from 1 species